GCCAGGAGCGGGUUUUUCUUUAAGUUCUGAUGUGGAAAGCCCCCCCGGCUUCAACCCGGGGGAGGGGUCAUUGGAAACUGGGAAAACUUGAGUGCAGAAGAGGAAGAGUGGGAAUUUCCACGUGUAGCGGGUGAAAAUGCGUAGAGAUGUUGGAGGAACACCAGUGGCGAAGGCGACUCUCUGGUCUGUAACUGACGCUGAGGAGCGAAAGCGUGGGGAGCGAACAGGAUUAGAUACCCUGGUAGUCCACGCCGUAAACGAUGAGUGCUAAGUGUUAGGGGGUUUCCGCCCCUUAGUGCUGCAGCUAACGCAUUAAGCACUCCGCCUGGGGAGUACGGUCGCAAGACUGAAACUCAAAGGAAUUGACGGGGGCCCGCACAAGCGGUGGAGCAUGUGGUUUAAUUUGAAGCAACGCGAAGAACCUUACCAGGUCUUGACAUCCUCUGACAACCCUAGAGAUAGGGCUUUCCCUUUGGGGACAGAGUGACAGGUGGUGCAUGGUUGUCGUCAGCUCGUGUCGUGAGAUGUUGGGUUAAGUCCCGCAACGAGCGCAACCCUUGAUUUUAGUUGCCAGCAUUCAGUUGGGCACUCUAAGGUGACUGCCGGUGACAAACCGGAGGAAGGUGGGGAUGACGUCAAAUCAUCAUGCCCCUUAUGACCUGGGCUAC
rnacentral:rRNA from 1 species